rnacentral:tRNA from 1 species
CGGGAUGUAGCGUAGCCCGGUAUCGCGCUAGCAUGGGGUGCUAGAGGUCGCAGGUUCGAAUCCUGCCAUUCCGA